GAUGAAGAACUUAGCGAAAUGCGAUAAGUAAUGUGAAUUGCAGAAUUCAGUGAAUCAUCGAAUCUUUGAACGCACAUUGCGCCCGCUAGUAUUCUGGCGGGCAUGCCUGUCCGAGCGUCAUUUCAACCCUCAAGCCCCCGGGCUUGGUGUUGGGGAUCGGCGAGCCUCCGCGCCCGCCGUCCCCUAAAUCUAGUGGCGGUCUCGCUGUAGCUUCCUCUGCGUAGUAGCACACCUCGCACUGGGAAACAGCGCGGCCACGCCGUUAAACCCCCAACUUCUGAACGUUUGACCUCGGAUCAGGUAGGAAUACCCGCUGAACUUAAGCAUAUCAAUAAGCGGAGGA
rnacentral:misc_RNA from 1 species